AACAAACGCUGGCGGCGUGCCUAACACAUGCAAGUCGUACGAGAAAGGGUCCUUCGGGGCCUGAGUAAAGUGGCGCACGGGCGAGUAACGCGUGGAUAAUCUGCCCUUCAGUUGGGAAUAACUCAUCGAAAGGUGGGCUAAUACCGAAUAAUGCUGUGAGACCUCGGUUGAUCAGCCAAAGAGAGCCUCUGCUUGCAAGCCCUCGCUGAAGGAUGAGUCCGCGUACCAUUAGCUAGUUGGUAGGGUAAUGGCCUACCAAGGCGACGAUGGUUAGCUGGUCUGAGAGGAUGAUCAGCCACACUGGAACUGAGACACGGUCCAGACUCCUACGGGAGGCAGCAGUGAGGAAUCUUGCGCAAUGGGGGCAAACCUGACGCAGCAACGCCGCGUGAGUGAGGAAGGUCUUCGGAUCGUAAAGCUCUGUCGGAUGGAAAGAACCGCAUAGGGGUAAACAGCCCCUGUGUCUGACGGUACCAUCAAAGGAAGCACCGGCUAACUCCGUGCCAGCAGCCGCAGUAACAC
rnacentral:rRNA from 1 species